rnacentral:tRNA from 1 species
UCCAGGGUAGCCUAGUGGACAUGGCAUCUGCCCGGUAAGCGGAACAUUGUGGGUUCGUUUCCCAUUCCUGGAU